UGGGGAAUAUUGCGCAAUGGGCGAAAGCCUGACGCAGCGACGCCGCGUGAGGGAUGAAGGUUUUCGGAUCGUAAACCUCUGUCAGAAGGGAAGAAACCGCACUGUGCUAAUCAGCAGUGCCUUGACGGUACCUUCAAAGGAAGCACCGGCUAACUCCGUGCCAGCAGCCGCGGUAAUACGGAGGGUGCAAGCGUUAAUCGGAAUUACUGGGCGUAAAGCGCACGUAGGCUGCUUUGUAAGUCAGGGGUGAAAUCCCACGGCUCAACCGUGGAACUGCCUUUGAUACUGCUUAGCUUGAAUCCGGGAGAGGGUGGCGGAAUUCCAGGUGUAGGAGUGAAAUCCGUAGAUAUCUGGAGGAACAUCCGUGGCGAAGGCGGCCACCUGGACCGGUAUUGACGCUGAGGUGCGAAAGCGUGGGGAGCAAACAGG
rnacentral:rRNA from 1 species